CGACCAAGAACGUCAUUAAGGCUUUUUGUGGCUGUCUUUUUUGUUUUUAUUCAUUUUCGCCCUUGAGCUGCUUCCCAUACUGUAAAAAAAGUAUACUACAGCCAACUCAGAGAAAACAGCGACCAAGAACGUCAUUAAUAGAUCCAAAAGUUUCAUAAGGUCACUUGACAAAACUUACCCCAUGCUCGUGUUAUUAGUAGUUCCAAUGCUUUCUGAGGUCACUUAACAAAACUCACCCCAUGCCUGUUAUCAUUAAUAGUCCAAUUCUUCAUGAGGUCACUUGUUGAGGCUCACCCCAUGCCCGUGUUACCAUUAAUAGUUCCAAUGCUUUGUGAGGUCACUUGUUGAGGCUCACCCCAUGCCCGUGUUACCAUUAAUAGUUCCAAUGCUUUGUGAGGUCACUUGUUGAGGCUCACCCCAUGCCCGUGUUACCAUUAAUAGUUCCAAUGCUUUGUGAGGUCACUUGUUGAGGCUCACCCCAUGCCCGUGUUACCAUUAAUAGUUCCAAUGCUUAGUGAGGUCACUUAACAAAACUCACCUCAUUCCCGUGUUAUUAAUAUUUCCUUUCUUUCUGAGGUCACUUGACAAAACUCACCUCAUGCCUGUUAUCAUUAAUAGUUCCAAUUCUUUCUGAGGUCACUUGUUGAGGUUCACCCCCCGGCCGUGUCUCC